rnacentral:rRNA from 1 species
GACGAACGCUGGCGGCGUGCUUAACACAUGCAAGUCGAGCGGUAAGGCCCUUUCGGGGGUACACGAGCGGCGAACGGGUGAGUAACACGUGGGUGACCUGCCCUCAGCUCUGGGAUAAGCCUGGGAAACUGGGUCUAAUACCGGAUAUGACUCCAUGACGCAUGUUGUGGGGUGGAAAGCCUUGUGCGGCUGAGGAUGGGCCCG